CAGCAGCAGAGAUAAACACUAUCAGAGAGACUGAAUCUGGAGGAUAUGACGGACAGUGAAAGAGAUGUAAUGUAAGUGACUGAAUCAGUCUUAUCUACAGCAUAAUAAACGCAUACUGACACCGUCAUACCUGCACAUGUGUGACAGAGUUUUCUGAUGUCCAGAUGUGUGGUCUGGUUGCUGAUGGGAUUGUUGAUCACACAGCUGUAGAGAGACUGAUGUAUAGUAAAAGCAACAAAAAGUUAAUACAAUCUUCCAUCUCACUCUUGCAGCUCAUCUUCUGAGUCAAAGUGAAACUAGGGUUGGUUUUCUUCAGGGAUGUGGUUUGAGCUGGACAAACUUGCAGGUGAAAAAUGUGUUCUUGCUAACUGUGUAAGCUUUACAGUUAAACAAAAUACUGCAGUGGUUCUCAAUUCCAGUCCUGGGGGUGCCCUGCACUGCACAUUUUGUGUGUCUCCCUUAUUUAACACACCUGAUUGAGAUCAUCAGCUUGUUAGUUCAGUUCAUGAAACUCUCUCCAAACAAGCUUUUUCCAAAAUGGAUUAAAUUCAUUAUUUCCCUCCACAUUCUACAAAAAAAAAAAAAAAAAAAAAAAAAAAAAAGGAAACAA